AUGGAGCAAUUGGAGAAGAGGAUGGAUGCUGCAGAACAACAAAUCAAAGAGCUGCGUGAAGAUCUUAAUCGGAGAUUUGGUCAGCUGGUUGAGAUGAUAAGAAAGGGUGUCCCCCCUGCUGCCAAUGAAGGAGAUUCAUCUAAAGAAGAAGAUGCUCAACAAGGAAGGAGAGGUAAUCUUGGAGCAAGACCGCCACAACAACGUGCUGUUCAACGUGCUUCAAGAAGGCCAAUUUAUGUUGAAGCUUCUGAAGGUGAAGAAUAUGAUGAUGCCCUUGAAGAAGCAGAUCUCUACGCAUAUCGGAGAGUACCCAACCCUACAUAUGCAAGAGAUACAUACAAGGUGAAAGCUGAGAUCCCAACUUUUAAUGGAAAUGUUGACAUUGAAGGGUGCCUGGAUUGGUUAUAUGAAGUGGAGACUUUCUUUGAGGUCAUGGAGGUUCCGGAAGAUCGUAGAGUUCCUUUGGUCGCAUACAAACUGAAAGGAGGAGCCGGUGCAUGGUGGCAUCGCGUUCAAGAGGAGCGCAGGCUGAGAGGAGAACCUCGUGUUAGAACUUGGCGACAAAUGAAAGGCCUCUUGAAAGGGAGAUUUUUGCCCGCUGAUUAUGACCAGAUCCUAUUUAUCCAAUUUCAAAAUUGUGCUCAAGGAAAUAGGACUGUUUCAGAUUACGCGGAGGAGUUUCUAAGGCUACAAGUGAGGUGCAACCUUGCUGAAACUGAAGAGCAACAAGUUGCAAGGUACAUCAAUGGUCUCAAUGAUGCUAUUCAAGAUCGAUUGAUGAUGCAACAAAUCUGGUCCGUUGAUCAAGCACAAGCUCUAGCCUUAAAGGCCGAGAGGUUUGUGAGGAUGAGAAAGACAACUAAGGCUCCAUAUCCUCCAUAUCCACAUACCGAAGGCUCAUCUAGGAGCCAACCUAAUAGAGUGGAAGAAAAGACCACUCCACCAGAGACAAAACAGCCCAUCUCGAAGCAAACUAGAGGCAAGGGUAAGGCAAAUGAAGGCCCAAAGUGCUAUAAAUGUGGUAAAGAGGGACUCAUAUCCAGCGGUUGCCCACUAAGGAAAUUUGUUAACACGACUAUCCAUGAUGGUGAAGGCGAUGAGGAAGAAUACGAAUCUGAAGAUGUAGACGGACAAGAGGUUUGUCAAGAAGAAGGUGAAGAGGUGGUAUGUGUGAUCCAGCGUCUCCUAUGUUCCACACCACAACCCAAUGACACACAACGGAAGAAAAUAUUUGAGAGCAAAUGCACGGUGAAUGGCAAGGUAUGCAAACUAGUGAUCGAUAGUUGCAGCUGCGAGAAUCUUAUCUCCCAGAAGUUGGUGGACCAUUUAAAGCUUGAAACCCAUGAUCAUCCAAAUCCCUACACUAUUGCAUGGGUCAAAUAA
rnacentral:rRNA from 1 species